GUGCUCGCCUCGGCAGCACAUAUACUGAAAUUGGAACGAUACAGAGAAGAUUAGCACGGCCCUGUGCAAGGAUGACACGCAAAUUCAUGCAACGUUCCAUAUAAAA